rnacentral:rRNA from 1 species
ACGAACGCUGGCGGCUGCUUAACACAUGCAAGUCGAACGGAGUGGCGAACGGGUGAGUAACGCGUGAGCAACCUGCCUAUGACAGUGGGAUAGCCUCGGGAAACCGGGAUUAAUACCGCAUAGUCAUAGAUGGGCUCGCGUCUGAUUAGCUAGUUGGUGAGAUAACAGCCCACCAAGGCGACGCUCAGUAGCGGGUCUGAGAGGAUGAACGGCCACAUUGGAACUGAGACACGGUCCAAACUCCUACGGGAGGCAGCAGUGGGUAAUAUUGCACAAGGGGGGAAACGCUGAGGAAGAGACGCCGCGUGAACGAAGAUGGUAUUCGUAUCGGAAAGUUCUGACCUAUGAGAAGCAGUACCAUAGAAGAAAGCUCCGGCUAAAUACGUGCCAGCAGCCGCGGUAAUAC